GUUGAAGGGUUGGUUUGGUCCAGAUGGUUGGGCUAGUUUGGUUUAAUGCAUGGCCUGCCCAUUCAAGUGAGGAGUUUAACCAUGGGUUCUGAGCGAAGGCUUAGAGCUCUCGGUUUCUAUAGUGGAGGGUACUGCGCUAGGCUGGUUUCACAGAGCAGCGACCACUUCCCUCUCCUUUCGGUGGAAGGAUUACAGGCCGGUAAUCAGCUACUCCCAUCAAAUAAACCUGAUGGGCCUCCCAAUUCAACAACCAUCUUUAAAAAAAAAAGAGAAGUGUGGGAAGAGAACGAAUGGGUUAGUUUCUCUCUCUAGAUUUUGCUCUCCCUUCUCACUAGGAUUUUAGACCACUUCUCCCGUCCAUUCUCUCUCCCUUACCGUUAACUUCCAUUUUCUUUCCUUUUUAAUCUCCCGCCCAACCUCACCUACCUCUCCGUCCUUACCAAACUUUUCUGUUUACCCUUUCUGGUUUUCUACUCCUCCAUCCUCCUGCUACCGUUCCCUCCCUUCCGGCCUUCUCUCCUCCGUCGUCUACCACCUCACUCCCAUGGUUAGCCAUUCUCAUCUCUCUACUGGAAACUCCCUGAGCUCUGUCUCUAGGGAUUUCUUUGCUGAAUUUGGUGUCUCAAACCCAAACUCUCCUUCUCUUUCCUCUCCUUUGGUGCUCAGCAGUGCUGACAUGGCUGUCUCCGCUGACCUAUCCCUCAACGUGGACUCGUUUGCAAUGCUAGAAUCAGACCCAAAUCCUGUUGCUGUUGAUCAAAGCUCUGAAGACUCUACCUCAUUAGCAAAUGAGAUAGAAAGCAACUUGGGUCAAGCUCUUACAUCUAAUGUUUCUGAGAUCUUCAAAGCUGCACAACACUUCUCUCAAAAGGAUCGAGAGGAAGUUUUAAUUGAAAGAAAGAAAAAUGCAGAUCUUAUGGACUGCUUGUUGGCGCAUGGACUCUCUGCUAGCGAUAUCAACGCUUUUGUUUCUGAUGGGAAACUAGCAAAUAUAGGUCAGGCCCACAAGAUGUCUAUUGGAAGUACUCAAAAAACUUCUGCUGCACUUCUGCUGGCGCCUUGCUCUGUUUCUGGCCAGUCUAUCCUUGGCAAACCUCUGGACCCUAUUCCCUCUGCUAUAGCUGCUAUUAAACCUGCUGCAUCUCCGGUUGAGCAAGGUGAAAACCCUCUUUUGAACCCUGGUCCACCUAAAUCCUGGUGUGAGGUGGUCUCUACUAGCUCCGGAAAACCUUCCCGCUCUCUUUCCUACCACCCUCCCUUAUCCGAAGAUGGUCCGAUUCUAGUUAAACCUCCCACUGAUGUGCUCAAACGUGGAAAUCAGCUCUGGUCUUCCAGCCUUGUGGGUUAUUUCUUGCACUCAAACAUCCCCUUCAAGGUUGUUGAACCCAUUGCCAAACGCCUUUGGGGCAACAUGGGUCUCACAAGUGUCUUUCUCCAUAGCAAAGGCUACUAUAUUUUCAAAUUCAAAUCUGUCUCUGCUAGAGACAAUGUCCUUGCCUCGGGUCCUUGGCACUUCGCCUCAAAAGUGAUUGUCCUACAACCUUGGAAAGAAGGAGUUGAAUUUUCAAAAUCUGAUCAGCUCAAAAUUCCCAUUUGGGUAAAGCUUAGCCAAAUCCCUCUUUCCUACUGGUCUGAUGAGGGUAUUAGCUACCUUGCUAGUGCCAUAGGUAGGCCUCUGUUUACAGAUGAAAUGACUUCCAAGCAUGACUUAAUGCACUUUGCCAGAGUCUGCAUUGAAGUCCAAGCUUCAUUCUCCUUUCCUUCCUCUAUCAAUGUUGUUGUUCUUAACGAAGAAACUUCUGAAGACAUUAUUGUCCCGGUUAGUGUUGAAUACCAGAGUAGGCCACCAUCAUGCCCCUCCUGCAAAGUAUUUGGCCACUCUCCUUUGAAAUGCCCCAAAUCCAAUUUUAAAUGGGUGCCCAGAACAAAUGCUCAACCUGAAUCUGCUCCCAAACCUGCUGACGGCACUUCGGCCCCUGGCCCCUUACUUCCCACUCCUGCUCCUGAUGCUGUCAAAAAUCCACAUGCUGGUACUCAUGCAAAUGACUGGGUAACUGUCUCCCGAGGUGCCAAAGUUGGAAAUAACCCGACUCCUUCUCUUCCCAUCUUGGCCUCGCCUAACUCCUUCUCCCCCAUUGCAAAUGCUAUUGUCUCUGAUGCUCUCUCUCCCUCUGAUCUGGAUUCACCCCCUAUAAACUGCCCUAUAUUGAACAAGCUAAUUGCUAUAGAUGAGAAGGAGGGCAAGGACCUGAAGCAUAAGCAAAGAUCUGGGCUGGACCCUUCUCAAGAUGCUAAGCGUAGGAACAAAGGCAAGGGCCGUGGGGGAAAAACCUCCUGCUAACCACUACUCCCCUUAUUUUUCUAUGUUAAUGUUAGCGACAUAUAAUAUUAGAGGUCUUAAUAAAAAGCCAAAGCAGGCUUAUGUUAAACAGUUAAUUCUAGAUAAUAGUAUCUCCCUCAUUGGUCUGUUGGAAACCAGAGUCAAGCAGCAUAAAGCUAGUAGAAUCUCCAAUAAUAUUUGUAGGAACUGGACUUGGUUUUAUAACUAUGAUUACCACUAUAAUGGCAGAAUUUGGGUUGGUUGGAACCCCAAUAUCUGGCAAGUGGAUAUCCUUUUUGUAUCCUCCCAAGUUAUUCAUUGCAACAUCAAGCAUUUAGCCAAUGACUGUACUUUUUUGGGUUCUUUUAUUUAUGGUUUGAAUUCUAUAUCUGAAAGGAAGAACUUAUGGGCUGAAUUAUCCUCUCUUAGUUCCUCUCUCAACUGGUGUGUCCUGGGUGACUUCAAUGCUAUCAGCAACCUUAGUGAAACUGACAGGAUUGAAACCGAUUGGGACUCUGGUAUGGAGGAUUUCAAAGAGUGCCUGCAGAACCUUGAAAUGGUUGACAUUAGGGGCAUUGGUCCCUUCUACACUUGGUGGAACUGUCAAAUUGAAAAUCCAAUCCAUAAAAAGCUUGAUAGAGCUUUGGGAAAUGCAUCAUGGCUCAACUCAUUUCCCCUUGCCCAAGCUACCUUUGCCCCCAGAGGAAUGUCUGACCACUCUCCUGUCAUGCUUAACCUUGGCAUUCCUGCUUCAAGGUCAAGGAAGCCUUUCCAGUUCUUCAACCACAUGAUUCUCUUGGAUGGCUUUCAUGAAUGUGUAUCUUCUGCCUGGAUGCAACCCGACCUAGGUAACCCCUUUCAUAUCCUGACUGCCAAGCUUAAGAGAACUAAAAGAGCCUUAGCUACCUUCAAUAAAUCCAUUGGAAAUCUAUCAUCUUCUGUUAAGGAAGCAACUUCAAACCUUCACAGAGUUCAAUCCUUGCUCUCCAACAGGCCACUCGAUCCGGAUCUCAUCUCCCAGGAGCAGAGCUGCCUUCAGGUUCUUUGGAAUUCCUUGGCUCUAGAGGAAACUCUUAUCCACCAGAAAUCUAGAGCUACCUGGCUUGCUACAGGGGAUAGAAACACCAAAUUUUUCUCCAAUCUGGUGAAAAGCAGGUGGAACACAAACAAAAUCCUUUCUAUUUAUAGCUCUUCCGGCGAUCUGGUUCAGGGGCAGGAGGAGGUUGAAAAUGUGGCUGUGAAUUAUUUCAAAGAUUUGUUCAACUACCAGCACCUACCUCCUUCAGCUGACUUUGAAAAUUAUGGAGUUCUCCCUACCAAACACAUAACUGUCUCUCAAGCUGCCAUCCUUUCGGCUCCUAUCACAGCUACUGAGGUAUUCAAAGCUCUUAGUGGUAUGAAGCGAAACAAGAGUCCAGGCCCGGAUGGUUUUAACGUGAAUUUUUUCACUCACUGUUGGGACAUUGUUGGUGAAGACUUCACAAAAGCCGUUCUAUUCUUCUUUUCUUCCUGCCGAAUGCCUCGAGGUGUAAAUUCAACUGCCAUUGCUCUUAUCCCAAAGUGCUCAAAUCCCUCUCUCAUGUCUGAUUUCAGACCAAUAUCAUGUUGCAAUACAAUCUACAAGUGCAUAUCAAAAAUUCUUGCUGACAGACUCAAAUUGGUCCUCCCCUCUAUUAUUGAUAAGGCACAGUCUGCUUUCAUCAAAGGAAGAAGCAUAAGCGACAACAUAUUCCUUGCCCAGGAGCUAUUCCGAAACUACCACCGGAAAUCUGGUCCUCCUCGCUGUGCCUUAAAAAUUGACUUAAGGAAAGCGUUUGACACGAUAAAUUGGGACUUCUUAAUGGGCACCCUUAAAUCCUUCCAUUUUCCCUCUCAAUUCCUAGACUGGAUUUACUCCUGCAUUUCCACUGCUAUGUUUUCAGUCAAGGUCAAUGGUUCCCUUGCUGGAUACUUUGGUAGUACUCGAGGCCUAAGGCAAGGUGAUCCCCUCUCCCCUUACUUGUUUGUGCUAGUAAUGGAAAUGCUCUCCCUUAAACUCAACUGGGGUUCAAAACAAUCUGGGUAUCUUCACCACUGGCGCACUAAAGCCAGCGACAUAUCUCAUCUCCUUUUCGCUGAUGACAUCUUAAUCUUCUGUCAUGCCAACCUUCAAACCAUUUCCAUAAUACAUUCAUGUAUCCAUUCCUUCUCCCUCUUCUCCGGUCUCAUUCCUAAUAUUCAUAAGAGCCAAUGUUUUCUAGCCUGUGACGACCCUGAAACAAAAGCUUCCAUCCUAUCUUUCCUGGGCUUCACUCAUGGUACUUUCCCCACCAAAUUUUUGGGUGUCCCCCUCAUCUCUUCUAAGCUUUCAUACCAGGAUUGUAUUCCUCUGAUUCAUGCAAUCACACAAAGAGUCUCUUUAUGGACUGCUACUGCCCUUGCUUAUUCUGGUAGGGUCCAACUCAUAAAAUCUGUGCUCUUCGCAAUACAAUCGUAUUGGAGUACUCAUUUCCUACUGCCUAAAGCAGUCAUUAGAGCCAUUCAAUCUAUUCUUUGUCGAUUCCUCUGGAAGGGAACCUCCCUUACUCCCUAUGGUGCUAAGGUUGCAUGGCAUAACAUCUCACUCCCUACCGAGGAAGGGGGUCUGGGCAUUAAAAGUCUCCUGGAUUGGAAUAAAGCCCUUCUUCUACUACAUCUAACCCAUGUAUUGCAGAUUAACACUAAAUCACUAUGGGCUAAGUGGGUGCAGACCACUGUUCUUCUUGGGAAAUCUGUUUGGCAGAUAGAAAUCCCCACUGAUUGUUCAUGGAUUUGGAGACAACUACUAAAGCUCAGGCCCAUUGCUCUUCAGCACCUUGAAUACGUUGUUGGCUCUGGAGAAACCUUCAAUCUAUGGUACGAUCCCUGGCUCAAUGGUUCUGCCAUUAACCCCAGCAGUACCUUGCUCUCAAAUUCAGGCCUAACCGUCUCAGCCACAGUCAGGGACAUUAUGAAUACCUCCUCCUGGCACCUUCCCCUAUCCAACCAUCAUGAGGUAAUUCUCCUCCGGCAACUAGUACAAUCUGUUCCCUUUCCCUCUGCAUCCAUGGACUGUAUCUUUUGGGGCUCAAUGGAUAUCAGCUGCAUUAAAGCAAGACAUAUUUGGGGAAGCAUCAGGAUCAGGAAACAGGCUGUUCAGUGGCACACAAUUCUCUGGCAUAAACUGCAUGUGCCGAGAUACUCUUUCAUGCUCUGGCUUGGAUUUCAUGGAAAGCUCCAAACUAAUGACAUCACUCGAGCCUAUACAGGAAGGACCUUCAACUGUCAACUAUGCAACAAGCACCCUGAAACUUUUUCACAUCUUUUCUUCAUCUGUGAAUACUCCACUGUUAUUAUAAAAGCGACAUUCCAACUGGGUGGAUGGCUCUCAUUACCCCUGGACUGGACUGGACUCACUGACUUUAUCUCAUCUUUCCAAGGGAGGAAAUUAUCAAAACAUAUCCUCAGCCUCUCUCUGGCUGUUUCUUUCUAUAAGAUAUGGGAAGCAAGAAACAAAAAGCUUCACAAUGGGACACUCAUUCCUCCAAGAUGUCUUGCUACUGAUGUGAUUAGUAUCAUUAAAUCUAGAUUAUCUACUAAUUCAUCCUUUCUCAAAGCUACCAACUAUUGCCAAUACUACUGUAAUUGGCUUAGGACAACGGUCUAAUGCGUGUCAGGUGUUGUGACUGGUUUGGCCUAACGGACUUGGGUCUGCGGUGUGGACUGUUGCUGUGUUGCUGCCUUGUGUUUCAGUCCGUUACUGGGUUCGGCUUCUUGGCCAGUAAAGGUCUGGAAGACACCUGGGCUUAGCAUCCUGGUUCGGUUCGGGGUUCGGCAUCUUGUCCUAUGGACGCUGGGGAUGCUGGUUUCGGCUUCGGGGUUCGGUUUAUAUGGUUCGGCCCUUCGGGGUUCAGCCUCUUGUCUUCGGGAUGCUGGGGGACGCUGGUUUCGGCUUCGGGGUUGGGUUGGAAAUUUAGCUUCCAUGGCAGUUCGGCUUCCUCAGCGGUUUGGUUCAACUAUUGCUUCUGUUCGUUAUGAAUUCAGUAGCAUUCUCAGUCCGGUACUGGGUUCGGCUUCUUGGCCAGUACUGACAUCCUGGUUCGGUUUCGUGGUUCAAAAUCUUGUCUUCGGGACGCUGGGGAUGCUGGUUUCGGCUUCGGGGUUCGGUUCUUAUGGUUCGGCCCUUCUGGGUUCAGCCUCUUGUCUUCGGGAUGCUGGGGGAUGCUGGUUUCGGCUUCCGGGUUGGAUAUCCUAUUGGCACUCGUAGUUCUUCCUAUUCCUCAGCAUCCUCUUCUGCUCCUGCUAUAGUUCAGCUCGGUCUUCGGCUACAUUCUUUUGGCUGUCUGGUUUUAACGGAUUGGCUGUUUAAGUUGUUUAAGUUCCCAUGCUUGUUUUUACUAUUGUCCUGCUUAGUACUGCUCCGUGUUCUUUCUUUCAUUUGGCUUGGUUGUUAGUCUUUGUUGUCCACUUUGGGGGUUGUCCCAUGUGGUUNNNNNNNNNNNNNNNNNNNNNNNNNNNNNNNNNNNNNNNNNNNNNNNNNNNNNNNNNNNNNNNNNNNNNNNNNNNNNNNNNNNNNNNNNNNNNNNNNNNNNNNNNNNNNNNNNNNNNNNNNNNNNNNNNNNNNNNNNNNNNNNNNNNNNNNNNNNNNNNNNNNNNNNNNNNNNNNAAAAUCUUUUCGUUUUAAACUUGUUCUUUGAUAAUGAUUAAAACUUAGCGGAAUAAAUAUUUGUUUUAAUCUUCUUAACCAAGCAAUGGAGUAAUGAAGGUGAGGAAGUUAUGGCAGUUAUAGUAGAUAUAUCAGUUAUGAUAUGAAUGUAAAUGACACAGUCGUUUUUAAGUGGUUCAGAGCACUUAAAACUCCUAGUCCACUCUUCUACUCAACGAGUAGGAUAUCAACUAAGGAUGUCUGUUACAACUUCUGAAUCACACAGAUUCCUUCUAGACCAGCAGUCUAGGAACUUCUUAGUUCACUCUUGAACUCUUCAAGUCCAGCAGACUUGGCUUUCUUAUAGUUCACUACGAACUCUUCAAGUCCAGCAGACUUGGUACUCUUCUUCAGUUGGUUGAUAAUGUUGUGUUCUUGAUGGUUGCUACUCAGUCGCUGUGUAAGCACUUGUUCUAAAGAACUGAGUAGCUGAGCAAUCUUUGCAAUAUCUCAGAUCGUAGAGUUAAGCUUGAGAGAGAUGUUCACGUUGUUUGUUCAAUGCUUGCUAUGUUCUCUCUCAUCUGUCUGAUCUGCAUAUAUGUGAUGUUGAAAACUAUCCGUUGGAUCCAUCCGUUAUGCCAUUAAAUGCAUCUGAACUUUUUGUACUAUGAUGGAUACAUUUCUGCACAUCUUUUGAAAUUGCAUUCUAGCCCACUGACACAGCAGACUGCUUUCUCACUUACCACCUGAAAAGGUUUUUUGUCCCUCUUAUCCAUGGUACUAUCCUUAGCUUCUUCAAUACGCUUCUUUGUUGCAUACUAAGGAUAUUUCUUUACUCUGGGACUGAUGAGUACUGCAGCGUCUAGAAUCCAUUCCUCAUAUGUUGAAAUCUACCUUUACACAAAUCAU
rnacentral:lncRNA from 1 species